UACGUAGGGUGCAAGCGUUGUCCGGAAUUAUUGGGCGUAAAGAGCUCGUAGGCGGUCUGUCACGUCGGCUGUGAAAACCCGAGGCUCAACCUCGGGCCUGCAGUCGAUACGGGCAAACUAGAGUACUGCAGGGGAGACUGGAAUUCCUGGUGUAGCGGUGAAAUGCGCAGAUAUCAGGAGGAACACCGGUGGCGAAGGCGGGUCUCUGGGCCAUUACUGACACUGAGAAGCGAAAGCAUGGGGAGCGAACAGG
rnacentral:rRNA from 1 species